rnacentral:rRNA from 1 species
AACGAACGCUGGCGGCAUGCCUAACACAUGCAAGUCGAACGAGACCUUCGGGUCUAGUGGCGCACGGGUGCGUAACGCGUGGGAACAUGCCCUUAGGUUCGGAAUAACUCCCCGAAAGGGGUGCUAAUACCGGAUAAUGUCUUCGGACCAAAGAUUUAUCGCCUUUGGAUGGGCCCGCGUUGGAUUAGCUAGUUGGUAGGGUAAAAGCCUACCAAGGCGACGAUCCAUAGCUGGUCUGAGAGGAUGAUCAGCCACACUGGGACUGAGACACGGCCCAGACUCCUACGGGAGGCAGCAGUGGGGAAUAUUGGACAAUGGGCGAAAGCCUGAUCCAGCAAUGCCGCGUGAGUGAUGAAGGCCUUAGGGUUGUAAAGCUCUUUUACCCGGGAUGAUAAUGACAGUACCGGGAGAAUAAGCGCCGGCUAACUCCGUG